GAUGAACGCUGGCGGCGUGCCUAAUACAUGCAAGUCGAGCGAACAGACGAGGAGCUUGCUCCUCUGACGUUAGCGGCGGACGGGUGAGUAACACGUGGAUAACCUACCUAUAAGACUGGGAUAACUUCGGGAAACCGGAGCUAAUACCGGAUAAUAUAUUGAACCGCAUGGUUCAAUAGUGAAAGACGGUUUUGCUGUCACUUAUAGAUGGAUCCGCGCCGCAUUAGGUAGUUGGGAAGGUAACGGCUUACCAAGGCAACGAUGCGUAGCCGACCUGAGAGGGUGAUCGGCCACACUGGAACUGAGACACGGUCCAGACUCCUACGGGAGGCAGCAGUAGGGAAUCUUCCGCAAUGGGCGAAAGCCUGACGGAGCAACGCCGCGUGAGUGAUGAAGGUCUUCGGAUCGUAAAACUCUGUUAUUAGGGAAGAACAAAUGUGUAAGUAACUAUGCACGUCUUGACGGUACCUAAUCAGAAAGCCACGGCUAACUACGUGCCAGCAGCCGCCGUAA
rnacentral:rRNA from 1 species